UGUUCAUCACAGAAUCACUUCAUCCUCAUAAUCUUCAUUUCUUCCUUUUACUUUCACUUUCAUAUGCAUAACCACCUCUGAAUCCUAGGGUUUUGUCCUCCUCUUUACUUUUCCUUCAUUUUUAACCGAUUAAAAGCACUUUUCUACUGAUUAAAACCCUUUCUACCGUUUGCUCUUCGAUUUCCAUCGAUUAAACCUGCAUUUGCGCCGUUUAAACACUUUUGUACCGAUCAAUCUUGCGUUUGAACUGAUUAAUCGGUUCAUAUUGAGUUUCUCCCCAUUUUUAGGGUUCUUUCGGUCUAGAUUAGGGUUCGUUCUCCCUUUUAGAGUUUUUCCCCAAUUGUUCCAGCUUCUAUUCGUUUGUUUAGGGUUUUUUAAUAUUUUCUUCUGUUCAUUCUCCGUUUCGCUCUCGAUCUCGAGUUCGUCUCAUUAUUUUGCUGCGUUUGCUCAACAAGGAAGCUUCGAAGGAGUUCAAGUCGAGCCCGCGUCGCUCUUUUGGUCAUCUCCUUGGAGGCUCUUCCAUGAAGCACGAUGGAGCAUGCUACCAGAGAUAAAUGCAAUGUGGUUAUUGGCCAAUAACCUUAAAGGGAAAAUGCAAUGUGGUGAAGUUGUUAUCACGGUGAUGGAGUGCAACGACAAUAUCAAUCCAAGAUGAACAAAAUCCUUAGUGAUUAUUAGGAAAUUAUAGACUUGUCAUUCUAUGUUGUUUGACAUGUUAUUAAUUGUAGAAUUUAUAUUGUUUAACAUCUUAGGAACAGUACAAUCUAUUUAUGAAUAUUAGACAUUUUGUAAACUUAUUUGAUAAU